AGCUUGGUUCCAUUUCCCAUCUAGCACUGUUAGGUCAUCUGAAUGGGAUGACUCCAGUAAUGGGAAGGUGAAUAAAUGAUAAAUAAGGCAUGAAAUUUAAGAUUAUGGUCCUGUUGGCACUGGUAAGAUUUAGAAGCCAUUGUAAAGGAGAAAUAGAGAGAAGAGGAGGGAGGCCAAAUUGUUGUUUUCUGGGAGAUGACAUCCAGCCUUGGCUUCUCGCCUUUCCACAGAGGACUUCCCUAGAAGUUUAGUGAAGAUGCACUGCCAUCUUGUGGCCGAGCCAUGCUCCUGCAUCUAUUCCCUCAAAAAGCUCUGGACUCCAGCAUAGAACCCCAGAGGCAGGUGGUAUGGUACAGAAAUAUCAAAUAUGCAGCCUACACAUGGCCCAUACCAUUUCUAAAUGUGGCCCAACUGGAUUAAAAUAUAAUUGGGAGUUAAUGAAAUAAAGAAAAAUACAAUCAACCAUAGAUAACAUUAAUAUGUCAUUUUAUAAGUCAAUACGCAGUCUAAGGGGAUCUUCAUGUAUGGUUCAAUCAUCCCUAUUUCCAUUUGGGGUUAGCACCACUUAUGUAGUAGAUAUAAUUCUGGACUUGGAAUUAGGAA